UAGGGAAUCUUCCGCAAUGGGCGAAAGCCUGACGGAGCAACGCCGCGUGAGUGAUGAAGGUCUUCGGAUCGUAAAACUCUGUUAUUAGGGAAGAACAAAUGUGUAAGUAACUAUGCACGUCUUGACGGUACCUAAUCAGAAAGCCACGGCUAACUACGUGCCAGCAGCCGCGGUAAUACGUAGGUGGCAAGCGUUAUCCGGAAUUAUUGGGCGUAAAGCGCGCGUAGGCGGUUUUUUAAGUCUGAUGUGAAAGCCCACGGCUCAACCGUGGAGGGUCAUUGGAAACUGGAAGACUUGAGUGCAGAAGAGGAAAGUGGAAUUCCAUGUGUAGCGGUGAAAUGCGCAGAGAUAUGGAGGAACACCAGUGGCGAAGGCGACUUUCUGGUCUGUAACUGACGCUGAUGUGCGAAAGCGUGGGGAUCAAACAGG
rnacentral:rRNA from 2 species